rnacentral:rRNA from 1 species
UACGAAGGGGGCUAGCGUUGCUCGGAAUCACUGGGCGUAAAGGGUGCGUAGGCGGGUCUUUAAGUCAGGGGUGAAAUCCUGGAGCUCAACUCCAGAACUGCCUUUGAUACUGGAAAGCUUGAGUCCGGAAGAGGUGAGUGGAACUCCGAGUGUAGAGGUGAAAUUCGUAGAUAUUCGGAAGAACACCAGUGGCGAAGGCGGCUCACUGGUCCGGUACUGACGCUGAGGUGCGAAAGCGUGGGGAGCAAACGGG